CCUACGGGGGGCAGCAGUGGGGAAUAUUUCACAAUGGGGGAAACCGUGAUGCAGCAACGCCGCGUGAGCGAUGAAGGCCUUCGGGUCGUAAAGCUCUGUCCUAAGCGAAGAAGCAUGACGGUACCUUAGGAGGAAGCCCCGGCUAACUACGUGCCAGCAGCCGCUGUUAUACGUAGGGGGCGAGAGUUAUCCGGAAUCACUGGGCGUAAAGGGUGCGUAGGCGGUCGAUUAAGCCAGGGGUGAAGGGCUACGGCUCAACGGUAGUAAGCCCGUGGAACUGAUUGGCUUGAGUGCAGGAGAGGAGAGUGGAAUGCCGAGUGUAGCGGUGAAAUGCGUUGAUAUUGGGGGGAACACUAGUGGCGAAGGCGAGUCACUGGACUGUAACUGACGCUGAGGCACGAAAGCGUGGUGAGCAAACAGGAGUAGAAACCCCUGAAGAC
rnacentral:rRNA from 1 species